rnacentral:tRNA from 1 species
ACUUUCAAGGAAGAAGCA